rnacentral:rRNA from 1 species
AUUGAACGCUGGCGGCAUGCCUUACACAUGCAAGUCGAACGGCAGCACGGGAGCAAUCCUGGUGGCGAGUGGCGAACGGGUGAGUAAAGUAUCGGAACGUGCCCAGUCGUGGGGGAUAACGUAGCGAAAGUUACGCUAAUACCGCAUACGAUCUAUGGAUGAAAGCGGGGGAUCGCAAGACCUCGCGCGAUUGGAGCGGCCGAUAUCAGAUUAGGUAGUUGGUGGGGUAAAGGCUCACCAAGCCGACGAGCUGUAGCUGGUCUGAGAGGACGACCAGCCACACUGGGAGUGAGACACGGCCCAGACUCCUACGGGAGGCAGCAGUGGGGAAUUUUGGACAAUGGGCGAAAGCCUGAUCCAGCCAUGCCGCGUGCAGGAUGAAGGCCUUCGGGUUGUAAACUGCUUUUGUACGGAACGAAAAGGUUUGGCCUAAUAAGCUGAGCUCAUGACGGUAUCGUAAGAAUAAGCACCGGCCAACUACGUGCCAGCAGCCGCCGUAA